rnacentral:rRNA from 1 species
UGGGGAGGGACGAACAAGUUGCGACCUAAUACGUCGCGACUCUGACGGUAGCUCCUUAGCAAGCACCGGCUAACUCUGUGCCAGCAGCCGCGGUAAGACAGAGGCUGCAAACGUUGCUCGGAAUUACUGGGCGUAAAGCGCAUGUAGGCGGCUUCGUAAGUCCGGAUGUGAAAUCCCUCGGCUUAACCGAGGAAGUGCAUUCGAUACUGCAGAGCUAGAGUAUCGGAGAGGGUCGUGGAAUUACCUGGUGUAGAGGUGAAAUUCGUAGAUAUCA